UCUUUGACAACUAGGAGGUUGGCUUAGAAGCAGCAAUCCUUUAAAGAAAGCGUAAUAGCUCACUAGUCUAGUGACUCUGCGCGGAAGAUACAACGGGGCUAAGUAUGAUACCGAAGCUGCGGAUCCGUAAGGAUGGUAGAGGAGCGUUCUGAAUUAGGCUGAAGGUUGACCGGAAGGACAGCUGGACGAAUCAGAAGUGAUCAUGCUGACAUAAGUAGCGUUUAACUCGAGUGAAAAACUCGGGCGCCGAAAACUCAAGGGUUCCGGGGCAAGGAUAAUCCUCCCCGGGUUAGUCGAGACCUAAGCCGAGGCCAAUUGGCGUAGGCGAUGGCAGUACAGUUAAUAUUCUGUAACUCUUUUCGGAUUGUUAUCGGAGGGACGGAGUAGGUUAUCUCAGCCGGUUAUUGGAUUCCGGUGUAAGCGUGUAGGUGGUAGAGUAGGUAAAUCCGCUCUGCAUAACACUGAGGCGUGAAUGCGAGGGUCUUCGGACCCGGAAGUGAGAAAAACCAUGCUUCCAAGAAAAGCUUCGUUAAUUUAAGAAAAGACUCGUACCGUAAACCGACUCAGGUGAGUGGGGUGAAGAUCCUAAGGCGAUGGGAUGAAUUGUGGUUAAGGAACUCGGCAGCUUAACACCGUAACUUCGGAAUAAGGUGUGCCAGCGAAUGUGUAAGGCCUCGCGCCCCAAGCAUUUUCUGGUCGCAGAGAAAUGGGAGUAGCGACUGUUUAUCAAAAACACAGGCAUGUGCAAAGUCACAAGACGACGUAUACGUGCUGACGCCUGCCCGGUGCUGGAAGGUUAAGAGGAUUUGUCAGCGCAAGCGAAGCAGAGAAUCGAAGCCCCAGUAAACGGCGGCCGUAACUAUAACGGUCCUAAGGUAGCGAAAUUCCUUGUCGGGUAAGUUCCGACCUGCACGAAUGGCGUAACGACUUCUCCGGUGUCUCAAUCACAGGUCCCGCGAAAUUGAAUUCUCGGUGAAAAUGCCGAGUACCCGCAGAAAGACGGAAAGACCCCGUGAACCUUUACUGUAGCUUGGCAGUGAUUUUAGAGUUUUGAUGUGUAGCCUAGGUGGGAGGCUUUGAAGCCAUGGCGCUAGCUGUGGUGGAGCCAAAAGGUGAAAUACCACCCUUUGAAACUUUGAAAUCUAACCUGCUCCCAUCACUGGGAGAGGGACACUGUCUGGUGGGCAGUUUGACUGGGGCGGUCGCCUCCUAAAAAGUAACGGAGGCGCGCGAUGGCCCCCUCAGCCUGGUUGGAAAUCAGGCGUCGAGUGCAUUGGCAUAAGGGGGCUUGACUGCGAGACUUACAAGUCGAGCAGGUGCGAAAGCAGGCCAAAGUGAUCCGGUGGUCCCGUGUGGAAGGGCCAUCGCUCAACGGAUAAAAGGUACUCCGGGGAUAACAGGCUUAUUCCGCCCAAGAGUCC
rnacentral:rRNA from 1 species